ACGAAAUUAAUCUCUUAACUUAUUUCAUCAAUUUUCUAAGGAAAUUAUUUGCGUUUUAUUGACAGUUUAACACGAUUGUACAAGAUUGCGAAUGAAUCAACGUUCUCAGAAUCUGCCGAAGCCCAAGUUUUUGUUCUUCUAGACACCUCUAUACACCAACGACAUUGAUCUCUUAAUUUAUUUCAUAAUUUUUCUAAGAAAAUUGU
rnacentral:lncRNA from 1 species